GUGGUUCCCCGCGGACCGAGGGCGGCGUAGCCGCCAACCCUACCCUGCUGCGAGUUCCUGUGCCCGGCUCGGUCGCCCCUGCCCCAACCUGUACCCCCGCGUGGGACCGCUCCCGGUCUAGGAAAGGCUCCUCCUUGCUUUCGGGAGGAUUUCCCAAGUGCCUCCCGCGCCAGAGUUCCAGCCUCUGGGAGCUUCGUCAGGGAGAAGGGGCUGAAGGCUCACUGAGCAGGUGUAGGGGCGCCAGAGACCGUCUCCAGUCCCCUCAGCGCUUCUGCGGGCUCUUCCGCUGGAGCCAGAAACCGAAUUGACAAGAGGCAGAUAAACAAAAGAAAAGCAUACACACUUUAUUAGUUUUUCAUGGGGACCUUCAAAAGAGAGUGAGGUCUGAAGAAGUGGCCACAGCAAGAUGCUUUUAUACUUUUUAGACAAAGAAUGAUGCAUUUGAGAAGAAAGCACAAAAGGCAUCUGGCUGGGGCGAUACAUUUCUAAGAGAGUCACUAGGAGAAAUAUUGGGGAGGGUGUAAAAUUAGUGGAAGGUAAGUGUUACUUGGGAAGUUCAUUUAUUCAGGUCCAUUGCAGCCCCAACUCCCAGUCUCUGGUGAUAAGGGCUAUUUUCUGACCCGGGUACAGAGAGGGUGCCACUCCCAGAGGAAUCUUUACUGCUUAUUCCCUGUAGGAAACGACAGGUCAUCUAGCCCUUUCUGAAACUACAAUUUCUCCGGUGUUUUUAGCUCAAAAUAAUAUACCAAUUUUUGGACAUAUUUUGGGAUAGCACAUCCUUCACUCCUUGCUAGUAACAGGGAAACCUAAUAUAGAUUGUGGGUCAGCAAGCCUUUUUACUUGAUAAGAAACAUGAAAUUUACCAUGUUAGCCCCUCUUUUUUUGUUUGUUUCAGAGACAGAGUGUCUCUGUGCCCAGGCUGGAGAGCAGUGAUGCGAACACGGCUCACUGCAGUCUCAACCUCCCAUCUCAGCCUCACAAGUAGCUGGGACCACGGGUGCAUGCCACCACACCUGGCUCAUUUUUUUAUUAUUAUGCUUUGUAGAGACAGCGUUCUCUGUUGCCCAGGCUGGUCUCAGACUCCUGGCCUCAAGUGAUUCUCUCGCUGACCGUGCUCAGCCCCCAUGUUAACCCUUUAUUUUUAUUGUUUAUUUUAUUUUAUUUUGAGACGGAAUUUCGUUCUUGUUGCCCAGGCUGGAGUGCAAUGGCCCUGUCUCGGUUCACUGCAACCUCCACCUCCCGGGUUCAAGCGAUUCUCCCGCAUCAGCCUCCCAAGUAGCUGGGAUUACAGGCACCUGCCACCAUGCCCAGCUAAUUUUUUUGUGUGUAUUUUUAGCAGAGACCGGGUUUCACCAUGUUGGCCAGGCUGGUCUCCAACUCCUAACCUCAGGUGAUCUGCCCACCUUGGCCUCCCACAGUGAUGAGAUUACAGGCAUGAGCCACCGCGCCCGGCCCCGUGUUAACCCUUUUUGAGGUGUUCAGUAGUAUCAGGCAUAUUCACAUUAUUGUGAAAUACGUUUCCAGAAACUUUUUAUCUUGCAAAUCUGAUUCUGUCCCUAAAUUUGACUACUCUAAGUAUCUCAUAUAAGUGGAUUUUAUAGUAUUUGUCCAUUAGUGUCUGGCUUCUUUUGCUUAGCAAAAUAUCCUCAAGGUUCAUCCAUGUAGCAUGUGUCAGGAUUUCCUUCCUUCAUUAAGGCCGAAAAAGAUUCC
rnacentral:lncRNA from 10 species